rnacentral:rRNA from 1 species
AGUUCGAUUCUGGCUCAGAUUGAACGCUGGCGGGAUGCUUUACACAUGCAAGUCGAACGGCAGCACGGACUUCGGUCUGGUGGCGAGUGGCGAACGGGUGAAGGUAUCGGAACGUGCCUGAUAGCGGGGAUAACUACGCGAAAGCGUAGUUAAUACCACAUACGCGCAAGGGGCGGGGCCUUCAGGCCUGCACUGUGCGACGGCGAUGUGGUUAGCUGGUUGGUGGGGUAACGGCUCGCAAGGCGACGAUCCGUAGCUGGUUUGAGAGGACGACCAGCCACACUGGGACUGGGAACACGGCCCAGACUCCUGGGAGGCAACAGUGAGAAUUUUGGACAAUGGGGAAACCUGAUCCAGCCAUCCCGCGUGUGCGACAAGCCUUCAGGUUGUAAAGCACUUUUGGCAGGAAAGAAACGGCACGGGAUAAUACCCCGUGCAACUGACAGUACCUGCAGAAUAAGCACCGGCUAACUACGUGCCGGCGGCGCGGCAGCAUCACGUAGGGUGCAAGCGUUAAUCGGAAUUACUGGGCGUAAGCGAUGCGCAGGCGGUUCGGAAAGAAAGAUGUGAAAUCCCAGAGCUUAACUUUGGAACCAGCUAUUUUUAACUACCGAGCUAGAGUGUGUCAGAGGGAGGUGGAAUUCCGCGUGUAGCAGUGAAAUGCGUAGAUAUGCGGAGGAACACCGAUGGCGAAGGCAGCCUCCUGGGAUAACACUGACGCUCAUGCACGAAAGCGUGGGGGCAAAACAGGAUUGAAUACCUGGUGAUCCACGCCCUAAACGAUGUCAACUAGCUGUUGGGGCCUUCGGGCCUUGGUAGCGCAGCUAACGCGCGCAGAAGUUGACCGCCUGCGAUACGGUCGCAAGAUUCGCUCAAGGAAUUGACAGGACCCGCACCAAAAGCGGUGGAUGAUGUGGAUUAAUUCGAUGCAACGCGAAAGAGCAUACCUACCCGCCAGGCAUGUGCCGAUCCGGGUGGAGUGCCGAGGAGCAGACACAGGUGCUGCAUGGCUGUCGUCAGCUCGUGUCGUGAGAUGUUGCGUUGAAGUCCGCAACGAGCACAACCCUUGUCAUUAGUUGCUGAAAGAGGCUCUGGCGGGCUUCGCGGUGACAAACCGGAGGAAGGUGGAUAGCGUCAGUCACUCAUGGCCCUUAUGGGUAGGGCUUCACACGUCAUACAAUGGUCGGGACGGAGGGUCGCCAACCCUGAGGAGCCAAUCCCGGCGAUCGUAGUCGGAUUACAGUCUGCAACUCGACUGCGUAGAAGUCGAAUCGCUAGUAAUCGCGGAUCAGCGUAAUACGCGGUGAAUACGUUCCCGGGUCUUGUACACACCGCCCGUCACACCAUGGAGUGGAUUUUACCAAGUGGUCAGCUAACAAUAAGGAGGGCGAUUACCGGUAGGAUUCAUGACUGGGGUCAAGUCGUAACAAGAAUGG